AUUGAACGCUGGCGGCAUGCUUUACACAUGCAAGUCGAACGGCAGCACGGACUUCGGUCUGGUGGCGAGUGGCGAACGGGUGAGUAAUACAUCGGAACGUACCCAGUAAUGGGGGAUAACUAGUCGAAAGAUUAGCUAAUACCGCAUACACCCUACGGGGGAAAGAGGGGGAUCGCAAGACCUCUUGUUAUUGGAGCGGCCGAUGGCUGAUUAGCCAGUUGGUGGGGUAAAGGCCUACCAAGGCGACGAUCAGUAGCGGGUCUUAGAGGACGAUCCGCCACACUGGAACUGAGACACGGUCCAGACUCCUACGGGAGGCAGCAGUGGGGAAUCUUGGACAAUGGGCGAAAGCCUGAUCCAGCAAUGCCGCGUGCGUGAAGAAGGCCUUCGGGUUGUAAAGCGCUUUUGUCUGGGAGCAAAUCCUUGUGGCUAAUACCCACCGGGGAUGAGAGUACCAGAAGAAUAAGGACCGGCUAACUACGUGCCAGCAGCCGCCGUAACAC
rnacentral:rRNA from 1 species